rnacentral:misc_RNA from 1 species
GAUGAAGAACGUAGCGAAAUGCGAUAAGUAAUGUGAAUUGCAGAAUUCAGUGAAUCAUCGAAUCUUUGAACGCACAUUGCGCCCGCCAGCAUUCUGGCGGGCAUGCCUGUUCGAGCGUCAUUUCAACCCUCGAGCCCCCCCCGGGGGCCUCGGUGUUGGGGGACGGCACACCAGCCGCCCCCGAAAUGCAGUGGCGACCUCGCCGCAGCCUCCCCUGCGUAGUAGCACACACCUCGCACCGGAGCGCGGAGACGGUCACGCCGUAAAACGCCCAACUUCUUAGAGUUGACCUCGGAUCAGGUAGGAAUACCCGCUGAACUUAAGCAUAUCAAUAAGCGGAGGA